AGUGGAAACAUUAGGUAAUACCGCAUAUGCCGAGAGGUGAAAGCUUCUUUUGAAGCGCCUGGGGAUGAGCUUGCGUCUGAUUAGUUAGUUGGUGGGGUAAUGGCCUACCAAGACUACGAUCAGUAGCCGGCCUGAGAGGGUGAACGGCCACAAUGGAACUGAGACACGGUCCAUACUCCUACGGGAGGCAGCAGCUAAGAAUCUUCCGCAAUGGGUGAGAACCUGACGGAGCGAUGCCGCGUGGAUGAUGAAGGCGGAAACGUUGUAAAAUCCUUUUAUAUGGGAAGAAUAAGUAUCCUGAGAGAAACGGGUUAUGAUGACGGUACCAUAUGAAUAAGCUUCGGCUAACUACGUGCCAGCAGCCGCGGUAAUACGUAGGAAGCAAGCGUUGUUCGGAAUUAUUGGGCGUAAAGGGCAUGUAGGUGGUUAAAUAAGUGUGGAUUUAAAGACCGGAGCUUAACUCCGUGUUUGGUCUGCAAACUGUUUGACUAGAGUAUAGGAGGGGAGAGUGGAAUUCCGCGUGUAGGGGUGAAAUCUGUAGAUAUGCGGAAGAAUACCGGUGGCGAAGGCGACUCUCUGGCCUGUAACUGACGCUGAAAUGCGAAAGUGUGGGGAUCAAACAGGAUUAGAUACCCUGGUAGUCCACACUGUAAACUUUGUACACUAGGUGUUAGAGGUAAUGAUACUUCUAGUGCCGUAGCUAACGCGUUAAGUGUACCGCCUGGGGAGUAUGCUCGCAAGAGUGA
rnacentral:rRNA from 1 species